UCCUGUUAGGACGCUGAGCUCGGUCGGAGGUCCACGGCCUGAAGGAAUUCUCUCAGCUCCGGCUCUUUCCUCAGCUUUCCUCCGGCCCACAGCGGUGCAAGGGGACCCUCUCAGCCAGCGCCCCUGCUCCCCGGCGCCUCGUGGGCAGCCAUCACUGCGCUUCAGCUGCUUUCUCUCCGUUCUGCCCCGCGUCCGGUCGUGACGUGCUCACCCCUUGAUACAGAACCAAGGCGAAGACUUCACAGAACACUUCACCUUAAAAGCAGGAGAAAAUGGCUCAGAUGAAAAUCCAGACCUGGAAUCAUUUCCCCUUAAGUGUAGCAGGACACAGCUGCCCACCUGGUGGAUGCUGAGAUUCCAGGCUGAGUGCCUUGUAUCUGUUGAUGAAGGAAGAAUGGAAGAAGUC